AGAGUUUGAUCAUGGCUCAGAUUGAACGCUGGCGGCAUGCCUUACACAUGCAAGUCGAACGGCAGCACGGGGGCAACCCUGGUGGCGAGUGGCGAACGGGUGAGUAAUACAUCGGAACGUGUCCUGUAGUGGGGGAUAGCCCGGCGAAAGCCGGAUUAAUACCGCAUACGCUCUACGGAGGAAAGGGGGGGAUCUUAGGACCUCCCGCUACAGGGGCGGCCGGUGGCAGAUUAGCUAGUUGGUGGGGUAAAGGCCUACCAAGGCGACGAUCUGUAGCUGGUCUGAGAGGACGACCAGCCACACUGGGACUGAGACACGGCCCAGACUCCUACGGGAGGCAGCAGUGGGGAAUUUUGGACAAUGGGGGCAACCCUGAUCCAGCAAUGCCGCGUGUGUGAAGAAGGCCUUCGGGUUGUAAAGCACUUUUGUCCGGAAAGAAAACGCCGUGGUUAAUACCCGUGGCGGAUGACG
rnacentral:rRNA from 1 species